GUAUCAUUAAGUGAAUACAUAGCUUAAUGAAGGUAACCCAGGGAACUGAAACAUCUAAGUACCUGGAGGAAGAGAAAGAAAAAUCGAUUUUCUUAGUAGCGGCGAGCGAAAGGGAAAGAGCCCAAACCGGAAACUUGUUUCCGGGGUUGAGGACAUAACAUAAAGAGAAGUAAUGGCUAAUUGAAGAGAACUGGAAAGUUCCACCGUAGAAGGUAAUAGUCCUGUAAAUGAAAGCUAGUAUAAUCGAGUUAUGAUCCAGAGUACCACGAGACACGUGAAACCUUGUGGGAAGCUGGGAGGACCACCUCCCAAGGCUAAAUACUACCUGAUGACCGAUAGUGAAGCAGUACCGUGAGGGAAAGGUGAAAAGAACCCCGGGAGGGGAGUGAAAUAGAACCUGAAACCGUGUGCCUACAACCGCUCAGAGCCCCUUAUGAGGGUGA
rnacentral:rRNA from 1 species